CCAAUAGCGUAUAUUAAAGUUGUUGCAGUUAAAAAGCUCGUAGUUGAAUUUUAGACUUGGCCGGGCGGUCCGUCUUUGACGAGUACUGUUCCGUUGUCGGGUCUUCCUUCUGGUGAACCAGCAUGUCCUUAAUUGGGUGUGUUGGGGAGCCAGGACCAUUACCUUGAAAAAAUUAGAGUGUUUAAAGCGGGCUAUUGCUUGAAUAGAUUAGCAUGGAAUAAUAGAAUAGGACGUUGUGGUUCUAUUUUGUUGGUUUCUAGGACCACCGUAAUGAUUAAUAGGGAUAGUUGGGGGCAUUAGUAUUCAAUUGUCAGAGGUGAAAUUCUUGGAUUUAUUGAAGACUAACUAUUGCGAAAGCAUUUGCCAAGGAUGUUUUCAUUAAUCAAGAACGAAAGUUAGGGGAUCGAAGACGAUCAGAUACCGUCGUAGUCUUAACCAUAAACUAUGCCGACUAGGAAUCGGGCGACGUUAUUUUCACGACUCGCUCGGCGCCUUAUG
rnacentral:rRNA from 1 species